UGAGAGGGCGUGGUUUGAAUGUGGCGCUCUGGAAAAUUCGACGGAUUAUCAGGUUAAAAGCAAACGUCUUGAAAUAAAUGAUGAAGGGACCAAUGCCAGGAAUACAACUCUAGUAGUGUCGCACUUUAUUGUUCAGAAUGUUCGCAGGACAUGCUACUGAGGAGAUGGGCCAUAGGUGAGUCCUUUCUGCCCAAGUGGUGGGAUAGGGCUUGGAUCAUUACACACCACCGUUGCUUCAGUCUACUGUCAUUGUCAACAUCCCAGGAUAUAACAGGUUAUGUCCGGUCAGGUUUAUGAGAAUGGCUGGCACCAUGUGGGAAAGAAUGACCAGGACUCUCUUGACUUCAAGGCCUUCAAACCUCAACAGUAAAAAGUGACUGCAGUGGAUGUAGAACAAAGGUGAAACAUCGAUGGGGCCAAAAUAAGAGAACACAUGCCUUUGAUCAGACCGAUCCCUUACAUCACCUUGCUGCUGGUGGAGAGUAAGAGGCAGCACUGAGAGAAAGCUCAUUCUUUACCAAUAGUCUCCUUCCCUGCCCACCCGGAACCUCUUCCGAGUACUGUUUGGAAUUGUCAAGUGCUGGAUAAGCAAAUGGGGUUUAAAUGUCAUGGCUCGAGUUCAGAAAGAGAGAGGAACAGAGAAGAAGAGAGGGAGAAGUUGUUUACCUUGCUUUCUUGGGGACUGCACUGGCAGCUCUCCAGUUCAUAUGCACUAGACUUCCUAAAGCUGCUGCAUCACAGGCCUGAGUGCCAGAGCUGGCUUCCCGUUGGGUGGGAGGACCUCCCCAGACUCUGCUGGCAGCACAAUGCUAUUGGACGAGCAGAAGGGAGCAGGUGGUGGACAGCUUCUGACUGGUGGAUAAGUAGCGUUAUCGUGCAGUACGUUUAAAAAACAAAUGUAUGUGUUCUAUAGGGGUACUAAUAAAAUGUGUACAGUAACAGCACAUGGUUUUGUUUUACAUUGUUCCUUAUCUACAGUAAUGUAAGCUGUAUGUACUGUAUAUUACAAUGGAUUAUAUUGUUGUUAGUCCUUGGCUGAAAGGAGCGGAAACAUGAGCACUGUAGGUAAACACGUGUGUAUCU